rnacentral:misc_RNA from 1 species
AUUUAACCCUAUAUCUCUUGUAGGAUAAACUUCACCAAAGCGUAGUUUGUUUUAACACUAAUCGACGGCUUAAAGAUAAGGAAAAGUAUUAUAAAAUGUAAAUGCAACAUUCGCUCAAGUUUGGAUGUAAAGAAAUUUACUUAUGGACACAAGUUUGCAGUUCAACCCAAAUAUAAAAGAAAUCCACAACAAAUUGAUAGCUAAACUCAUAAACUGUCAUGUAGGCCAUCACGAAAACUCGGAUUCUUAUGUCAGCUGGAAAAUGCAGUUUAGAAAUUAUUGCGACAACCCUAUCCAACUAAACGGCAGUGUCUUGAAAAACUUUUACUAUUUGGAAAAUGCAGGAUUAGUUGGUAUAGGUAGAUAUGAUGUCCUUCAAAAAAUAUUUUCGGAGAACAACGAAGCUUUAUCUGAAAUCAAAAGGACAUUCGAAAUUAUUGAACAUUUUGAGCCAUCAACAAUACGAUCAAAAGAUGCAGAAAACCAUAUCGUUGAGAUACGGAUCAAAGUAAAGAACGGGUGUCCAAACAUUGAAGAGCUACUCACUGGCAUUUUAGGCGACUUUGUAUGGAAACUGGAUUAUGCUUACUUUUCCAGCAAACUGGAUAAUUUCCAAACAUUUUCUUUAGUACAUGCCACAACUAUUUGUCAGAGAAUUAUGGAUGGACUAGAAAGAUCAGAAACAUUUAAAAACUUUGAAAAUAUAAUUUUGGAAACAAAGAGUGACCUGAAAAAGUUUAUUUCUCUCCACAACAGUGAUGCUGAAAAAUCGUCCAUGAUCAUAGUUCGACAAUUUCUUAUUUUCUUGGAUCGUAUGAAAAAGAAAUACUGCGUUCAAAAAUGGCGAGUAGAUUGGAAAGAACAUACUGUGAUUUUUGUUGAAUUCAACAAUCUUUUUGAUUUCGAAACGUGUUUUGAAUCAGGAUCAUUAAAAAAAGAAGCAAGAACUACAUUUGAGAGCAUUUUUAGUCAUUUUAACGACGUUCGACUUCAUGCACCAUAUGUAGAGAUACGAAAGGUGGAAUUCCAUAAUAAAUGAUAAAAUAUAUUAAAAACUUGUAUUCAAGUUAAAAUGCACUGACAGUUGUUUCAAGCAUUAAGGUGUAAAGUAUUUUUUUAUGUUUGUAGAACUAGCAAAAUAAAUUGUUUGUAUC